rnacentral:rRNA from 1 species
GACGAACGCUGGCGGCGUGCUUAACACAUGCAAGUCGAACGGAAAGGCCCUGCUUUUGUGGGGUGCUCGAGUGGCGAACGGGUGAGUAACACGUGAGUAACCUGCCCUUGACUUUGGGAUAACUUCAGGAAACUGGGGCUAAUACCGGAUAGGAGCUCCUGCUGCAUGGUGGGGGUUGGGAAGUUUCGGCGGUUGGGGAUGGACUCGCGGCUUAUCAGCUUGUUGGUGGGGUAGUGGCUUACCAAGGCUUUGACGGGUAGCCGGCCUGAGAGGGUGACCGGCCCGAUGGGGAGCGUGAUCGGCCGCAGAGUCGUAGGGGGGGGAGGCGGGGGGAAAAGGGCACAGGGGGCGGAAGGCGGUGGCGAGAGCGCGGAGUGCGGGCGGCGCGCCUCGGGGUGGUCACCCGCUGCGGCCGGGGGAGGAGCGGGGGGGCAGGGAAUGGAAAAAGAAGCACCGGUAACCGCGGGGCAAGCAGCGGCGGAAAUAACCGGAGGACCACUCGUCUGAAU